UGUUGCCACCUAAUCGGUCACUUAUCCUAAUUAACAUUCUUCCACUAAAUUGUCCCCUAGUCACCCCCACUUGAACGAUAUACACACCAACUGUUCUCGUUCACUAAUACACUUCUUCCGGAGGGAUUCAACUGGUUAUAUUCUGCAGUUGUCGGCAGGUGUGUGGUAGACGGUGACGUAAUAUUGCACAGGGUGUCGGGGAAUGAU
ensembl:ncRNA T05A6.19 ncRNA